CAGUCGCCGCGGUAAUACGAAGGGUGCAAGCGUUAAUCGGAAUUACUGGGCGUAAAGCGUGCGUAGGCGGUUUGUUAAGUCUGUUGUGAAACCCCCGGGCUCAACCUGGGAAUGGCAAUGGAUACUGGCAAGCUAGAGUGUGUCAGAGGAUGGUGGAAUUCCCGGUGUAGCGGUGAAAUGCGUAGAGAUCGGGAGGAACAUCAGUGGCGAAGGCGGCCAUCUGGGACAACACUGACGCUGAGGCACGAAAGCGUGGGGAGCAAACAGGAUUAGAUACCCGGGUAGUCCCUGUCUCUUAUAA
rnacentral:rRNA from 1 species